CUGAAAUUCUGUUGAAAAACGGCGUUAAACCCAAAACAGACAAACAAACAAACAAAGCACGUUUACAUGCCACAGACAGUGCCACAAAGUCAAAGGCUAAAAAGCUAAAAGCUGACAAUGUUAGCAUUGGUUAGUUUGAAAAUAGUUACAGAACUAAUAAACAUGAAGCAGAGCAACAAAUUACGAGAGAAUGAAGACUUUAUAAACAUGAAGAUGUCAUAGAUUCAUACAAGGUCAAUGGUCAGAUAACAACUAAUAAUAAUCGACUGAACUAUACGUCAACGAAGCAGCCAUGCGAUAACCUUAUGGGGUAUGUAGGUCUAUGUGUGUUUGAUGUUGUUAGAUUUGAUUUCAUAUUCGCAGUGUUUGGAUUUAAAGUGAUCGUUGCAAACAUCAAUAUGUCUUUUAAUUUGGCUGGAAAGAAAUUCCUAGUCACAGGAGCAGGUCGUGGAAUAGGGCGAGUUCUCUCUAAGACUUUAAGUGAACACGGAUGCAAAGUUUAUGCACUUAGUCGCACGCAAGAAACGCUUGACACCUUGGCAGCGGAAAAUUCAAAUAUACACACAAUCCAAGCUGAUGUAAGGAACUGGGGUGAAUUGAGAAACAAACUUGAUGGGAUCGAAGUUCUAGAUGGACUUAUUAAUAAUGCGGGUGUAACGGAAGGACUUUCUGGUCCUGCUUUAGAUGUUUCGAAGGCGUCCUUAGAUAAGUAUUUCGAAACUGGAUUCUUAGCAUCAGUCAAUACAAUUCAGAUCAUCGGAAAGAAAAUGGUAGAUGCUAAAAGAUCGGGCUCAAUUGUGAAUGUUUCCAGUGUGUUAUCGCUACAAAGUUUUCCGCAAAACAUAGGAUAUAACACAAACAAGGCAGCACUCGAUAUGAUCACUAAACAAUUCGCGCUGGAGUUAGGACCACAUCAAAUUAGAGUGAACAGCGUCAACCCCACACUUGUUGAUACAGAACCAGUGCAGAAUUUCGUAAAAGAUGUGUCACCUGUAGAUAAACUCUUUAUCGAAAAGACACCGAUGGCACGCAUACCGGAAGUGAAUGAAAUUGUGUACCCAAUCUUGUAUCUUCUUAGCGAUUUCUCAUCAAUGGUUUCGGGGACUACACAUAUCGUUGACGGUGGAAUGAUGUCGGCAUUCGCUACUAAAUUGUAAAUGUAUUCAGUACAUAUUCUGUCAAAUGAAAUUUCUGGAUUAAAAGAGAUGUAAAAACAAACUAUUGAAAUAUGUGACAUUUUAUGUUGUGUCAAAAUGAUAUACCAUUUUUUUUGUAACUUUAAUACGAGUCGUGUCUGUUUAGACUUUGUGUGUCAUUGUUUAUGGUUACGUGGCCGAGUGGUUAAGUUCGCUGACUUCAAAUCACUUGCCCCUAACCGAUGUGGAUUCGAGCUUCACUUUAGGCGUAGAAAUCUAUAUUUGAGGAAGUCAUGCCACUGGCUUACUGAAAUUAGGUGGUUCUACCAAGGUGCCAGCACGUGAUGAAAUAAUGCCCGUAGGGACACCAGGGCUCUUCCUCCACCACAAAACGCUGAAAAGUUGCCAAUACAACGUCUAAGUAGUUCGGCAUUCAAGCUGUAUUGUUCUAAAGAUGUAUAGAAAUUGUUAUCCAUAAUAGGUUUGUCUAGUUGUGAUAAUAUAGUUUUGUGACAACAUUGUUUAAGAAACAGCCUGUUACACGUGAACUGCAGUUACUCUUCUAAAAGCUGAUAAAUUGAAUUAUUGUAAAAUUGAUAGACGACAGAUUAUAUAGUUUAUGCAUGUGCGUUUGCUUUAAAGUCAACAUUAUAAUAGAUAGAAACUUGUUAUCAUGAAACAGCUCAUGUUAAGGCCAACAACCUUGAAAACAAAUCACAGCUUGUUAUAAUAUUACUUUUGUGAUCGGGCAAAGCUGCUUUUUUUUUUUUUUGUUCGGAUCUAUAUUAAACGGUUUGGAUUUUUGUUGACUGUUUGAUUAUAUAACUUAUUUACGUUCGUCAGGUAUUACCGGUACAUUAUACACCAUAAAAACAUAUUUAAACCACAGUGUAGGAGCUUUUCUACUCAAUGAUAAUCAUCACUGAAGCGGCUUUGGGUCAAGGAUUAGAAAAUGUAACAGCAAUGAGUCAAAUUACAGGGAGACAUUUUACUGCUGACAAAUACAGAUUGCUAUUGUGAUAGAUGAUAAAUGCUGAGGGAGCUACUGGUUCAAGUUUUUGCAGUGUUGAUGAAGAAUCACGACAAAAUAAAUAAACCUAAAUUAUAUUUGAUUUAUGUUGCCUGGGCAG
rnacentral:misc_RNA from 1 species